CAAAGCGUACAACAAUGAGGAAGAAACUCGAAACAACAUGGCGAAACCUGCGAUCGAGCUACGAUGCAGUAAUAAUUUGCUGGUGGUUCGAGAAAGUUUUUAUCUGGUGGCAAGAUAACCUUUUUAGCUGCGCUUCAAAUCCUACCGCAACGGAUAGAGAAAAAUAAUCAUCUGACGAUUAUACAAGGCGUGUAGCUCCACGUAUUAGGUAAUACCAAACGAAAUCCAGAGCCAACAUUUGAGUGAUUUUUUGAAAGAUUGGUGCUAGCAUUAUUGAGAAGACCUGCAGAAGACAUCCCGUUAGCAAGAGAGUGGUAUAGCGAUGGCUGUGAGUUCGCCGCUCGGAGCGCAGCUAGCAACUUAAUUUGAAUUAAGUUCUUACCAUGAUUGUGCUGCAAAUCCCGAAAAUUGCUUGCCUUGGAAGUGCAUGUAAGCGGUAUCGUAUCGUAAUGUUUCAUCUCAUGAUUUUAUGACACAACAUAGGGCAAGUGCUCCAGUUUCGUAUUCCAGUACUUUAUUUGGCCGAACAGUGGAUCAGCAGCAGCGGUAUGGAAAGUUAAGAAAGAUCUUCUUUUGAGCAUUAUAAAAACCUCCGAAAAAUCUAUAGAUAUUAGAAAAAUAAUAGUAUUCAAGUUAUAUUCUCCAUUGUGACCAAAUUAGGAGUCAUUGGGAAAACCGAUACACUGCCCUUUUACAAACAAAAUAUAUGUUCAGCUCACAAAU